GAGUUUGAUCAUGGCUCANAUUGAACGCUGGCGGCAGGCCUAACACAUGCAAGUCGAGCGGAAACGAUGGAAGCUUGCUUCCAGGCGUCCAGCGGCGGACGGGUGAGUAAUGCAUAGGAAUCUGCCCGAUAGUAGGGGAUAACCUGGGGAAACUCAGGGCUAAUACCGCAUACGUCCUACGGGAGAAAGCAGGGGAUCUUCGGACCUUGCGCUAUCGGAUGAGCCUAUGUCGGAUUAGCUAGUUGGUGAGGUAACGGCUCACCAAGGCGACGAUCCGUAGCUGGUCUGAGAGGAUGAUCAGCCACACUGGGACUGAGACACGGCCCAGACUCCUACGGGAGGCAGCAGUGGGGAAUAUUGGACAAUGGGGGAAACCCUGAUCCAGCCAUGCCGCGUGUGUGAAGAAGGCCUUCGGGUUGUAAAGCACUUUCAGCGAGGAAGAAGGCCUGAGGGCUAAUACCCUUCAGGAAGGACAUCACUCGCAGAAGAAGCACCGGCUAACUCCGUGCCAGCAGCCGCGGUAA
rnacentral:rRNA from 1 species